rnacentral:rRNA from 1 species
GGUUGCGAUCAUACCAGCACUAAUGCACCGGAUCCCAUCAGAACUCCGCAGUUAAGCGUGCUUGGGCGAGAGUAGUACUAGGAUGGGUGACCCCCCUGGAAGUCCUCGUGUUGCAACCCC